rnacentral:pre_miRNA from 1 species
AGGAGGAACAACCGCAGUGGCGGGGCCAGCUCUCCAGCCCUCGAGUCAGCUACCGCAGUAACUCGGGAGCUCUCGGUCUGCAGGGCCUGGAGGCUCCGGGGGCGG